CCUACGGGAGGCAGCAGUGGGGAAUAUUGGACAAUGGGGGCAACCCUGAUCCAGCAAUGCCGCGUGCGUGAAGAAGGCCUUAGGGUUGUAAAGCGCUUUCGCCCGCGACGAUGAUGACGGUAGCGGGAGAAGAAGCCCCGGCUAACUCCGUGCCAGCAGCCGCGGUAAUACGGAGGGGGCGAGCGUUGUUCGGAAUUACUGGGCGUAAAGGGCGCGUAGGCGGCCUUGUCAGUCAGGCGUGAAAGCCCCGGGCUCAACCUGGGAUGUGCGCUUGAUACUGCAAGGCUUGAGACCGGAAGAGGAUGGCGGAAUACCCAGUGUAGAGGUGAAAUUCGUAGAUAUUGGGUGGAACACCAGUGGCGAAGGCGGCCAUCUGGUCCGGAUCUGACGCUGAGGCGCGAAAGCGUGGGGAGCAAACAGGAUUAGAUACCCUGGUAGUCCACGCCGUAAACGAUGUGCGCUAGACGUCGGGAGUUAGGCUCUCGGUGUCGCAGCUAACGCAUUAAGCGCACCGCCUGGGGAGUACGGCCGCAAGGUUAAAACUCAAAGGAAUUGACGG
rnacentral:rRNA from 1 species